rnacentral:rRNA from 1 species
AACGAACGCUGGCGGCAUGCCUAACACAUGCCAGUCGAACGAGACCUUCGGGCUUGGUGGCGCACGGGUGCGUAACGGGUGGGGACAUGCCCUUGGGUUCGGCAUAACUCCCCGAAAGGGGUGCUAAUACCGGAUCUUGUCUUCGGACCAAAGAUUUAUCGCCCUUGGGUGGGCCCGCGUUGGCUUAGCUAGUGGGGAGGGUAAAAGCCUACCAAGGCGACGAUACAUAACUGGUCUGAGAGGAUGAUCAGCCACACUGGGACUGAGACACGGCCCAGACUCCUACGGGAGGCAGCAGUGGGGAAUAUUGGACAAUGGGCGAAAGCCUGAUCCAGCAAUGCCGCGUGAGUGAUGAAGGCCUUAGGGUUGUAAAGCUCUUUUACCCGGGAUGAUAAUGACAGUACCGGGAGAAUAAGCACCGGCUAACUCCGUG